CGAUUGCCGACCAAAACUGAACGAAAGUCGCACUCUGCGGACGCACACGCGCUGCGGCAGCUGACAGUUUCAGUAAACCACGGAGACGAACGGAUUACGGCUCUGGGAACAUAACGCAACGUUUGAUGAAAAUUUCUGGCAACACGUCGCGUCGUCUUGUUAACCACACAAAAAAUUAAAUAAAAAACAAAUUCAAAUACCCAA